rnacentral:rRNA from 1 species
AAAGGCGGCUUCGGCUGUCACUUAUGGAUGGACCCGCGUCGCAUUAGCUAGUUGGUGAGGUAACGGCUCACCAAGGCAACGAUGCGUAGCCGACCUGAGAGGGUGAUCGGCCACACUGGGACUGAGACACGGCCCAGACUCCUACGGGAGGCAGCAGUAGGGAAUCUUCCGCAAUGGACGAAAGUCUGACGGAGCAACGCCGCGUGAGUGAUGAAGGCUUUCGGGUCGUAAAACUCUGUUGUUAGGGAAGAACAAGUGCUAGUUGAAUAAGCUGGCACCUUGACGGUACCUAACCAGAAAGCCACGGCUAACUACGUGCCAGCAGCCGCGGUAAUACGUAGGUGGCAAGCGUUAUCCGGAAUUAUUGGGCGUAAAGCGCGCGCAGGUGGUUUCUUAAGUCUGAUGUGAAAGCCCACGGCUCAACCGUGGAGGGUCAUUGGAAACUGGGAGACUUGAGUGCAGAAGAGGAAAGUGGAAUUCCAUGUGUAGCGGUGAAAUGCGUAGACGAUAUGGAGGAACACCAGUGGCGAAGGCGACUUUCCUGGUCUGAACCUACCGUAGGCGAAAGGG